CCCUUAGAUGUCCUGGGCCGCACGCGCGUUACACUGAUGCAUUCAACGAGCUUAUAACCUUGGCCGAGAGGCCUGGGCAAUCUUGUUAACGUGCAUCGUGAUAGGGAUAGAUUAUUGAAAUUAUUAAUCUUGAACGAGGAAUUCCUAGUAAACGCAGAUCAUCAAUCUGCAUUGAUUACGUCCCUGCCCUUUGUACACACCGCCCGUCGCACCUACCGAUUGAAUGGUCCGGUGAAAUCUCGGGACGGCGGCUUGGUCGCUUGCGUCCGACUGCUGAAACUUGAUUAAACCAUNUNAUUUAGNGGAAGGUGAANUCGUANCA
rnacentral:rRNA from 1 species